rnacentral:rRNA from 1 species
CCGAGCAUGAUCAAGAACGCGGCGACAAUGCCGCGCGCGGGGGGCGGGGAAGGGAAAUAAAGAUCCUAAAUUACUAUAAGUGUCGUCCAAAUGCUCGUGCCAGAAGACUCGGUAAGGCGAGAGACGCAAACGUUAGUCGUCUUGAUCAGGCGUAAAGGGUUUGUAGGCAGCUUUAAGCAUCCAAUUUAAUGUUUACUAUUAUAAUAUUUACAAAUUAUAAUAUUUAUUAUAGGAUUAAUUAAAGCUAGAAUCUAAAAGAGGCGAAUACAAUGCUUGAGCUUAGGAGUACUAACCGCAAACAUCAAGUAGAGUGCUAAGGGCGAAGGCAGUUUUCCAAUAAAGAUUAACGCUGAGAAACGAAGGUGAGGAUAGAAAAAAGGAUGUGCGACCAGAAAAGUUUUUUUAAGUAUUGCGGAUUUAGUCUGUCUUGUAAUCUAUCUUACACGAGUUCGCCUUAAUAGGCAUUAUUGGUAACAAUUUUGUCUAAAGCUUAAGGUUUAAUUUUAGAAAGGUUAAUAAUUUUCUUUAAUUUGAGCUGUUUUCUAAGGUUAGAGAAAUUGAAUCUAUGUAAUUAAAAUUUUUAAUAUUUAGGAUUUUAGCGUGUCCUUGGUUAAAGUCAGAUAGACAAAAAGUGUUAAAAAUAAAGUAGAAACCUAAGGAAAACUAACGUACUUAAAAAGGAACUGGGUAAGCCCUAUAAUUUGCUAAUUAAAAAAUUUUUAAUAGCCAGGUUAACUGUAAAGUUCUCCGCAUAAUUAGAGGGUAUAAGACAGCGUUAAAAGCAAAUGUCUUAAUGUAAUGUUAAGAAUAAGCUUGAUUUAAGCUAAUCUGAAAGGAUGCAAACUAACGCAUGGGUUAUUUUAAAGCAUAAAAAAGUUUAAAGGACAUGAAAAAAACUUUUUAAAAUUUAAUAAACAAAAUUGGAUAGAAUGGUUUAUAAGAUUUUGUAAUGACUGAUGGUAAUUUUCAAGUAUUUCCUAAAUAAGAAGCUAUCUAAAAAAAAGCGGUACAGUCUAUAUACAUAUGGUAUGGCUUUCAUGUAGUUUAACUUUAAAAUUUACAUUAUUGCAAAGCUCACACAUAAUAAUAUAGCUACAUCUAUGAUAUCAUUAUGAGAGGAGGCUAGUCUCUGUUACAAACUAUAGAGUAAAAUUAUGAAAUAUUUUUGGAGUAGUCGGAUUGUGACCUCAGAAUUGAUGCCAGUCAAUUGAUUGCAUAAUAGGUAAGGUGAACAUGGGAGAAAUAUCGGU